UACGGGGGGGAGCAAGCGUUGUUCGGAUUUACUGGGCGUAAAGGGCGCGUAGGCGGCCACCGCAAGUCGACUGUGAAAUCUCCGGGCUUAACCCGGAAAGGUCAGCCGAUACUGCGGGGCUAGAGUGCAGAAGGGGGCAACUGGAAUUCCUGGUGUAGCGGUGAAAUGCGCAGAUAUCAGGAGGAACACCGGUGGCGAAGGCGGGGUCUCUGGGCAACAACUGACGCUGAGGAGCGAAAGCGUGGGGAGCGAACAGG
rnacentral:rRNA from 1 species